rnacentral:rRNA from 1 species
CCUACGGGUGGCAGCAGUGAGGAAUAUUGGUCAAUGGACGAGAGUCUGAACCAGCCACGCAGCGUGAGGGAUGACUGCUCUAUGGGUUUUAACCUUCUUUUAUAAAGGAGUAAAUCAAGGCACGUGUCCCUUUGUGCAUGUCUUUUAUGAUUAAGGCUCGGCUAACUCCGUGCCAGCAGCCGCGGUAAUACGGAGGAGCCGAGCGUUAUCCGGAUUUAGUGGGUUUAAAGGGAGCGUAGAUGGGUUGUUAAGUCAGUUGUGAAAGUUUGCGGCUCAACCGUAAAAUUGCAAUUGAUACUGGCAGUCUAGAGUACAGGUGAGGUAGGCGGAAUUCGUGGUGUAGCGGUGAAAUGCGUAGAUAUCACGAAGAACCCCGAUUGCGAAGGCAGCUUACUAAACUGUGACUGACAUUGAUGCUCGAAAGUGUGGGGAUCAAACAGGAUUAGAUACCCGUGUAGUC